UCGUAAAUCUACAGAGUUGUCGAUUGUAACUUUCAAGUAAUCGACGUAAUGAUUGACGAUAAAUUCUUGUUUAAUGAUAUAAAUAUUUCGAUUUAGUUAAUAUUUGUGGGAAGGGGGCAAGUAAGCAGUUGGGACAUCGAGGUGUUAAUCGGCGACCAUGAACUUCCGCAAUACUAGAGAACCGCUGAUGCGUUGCCUUCGAGAUGUAUUAUGAGAACACAGUCAUUCAAUUAUACAGCUUGACUAGUUAAUCGAAAAGGUCAUCAAUUAAAAAAUUAAAGGCCGUUCAAAAAAACAUUCACGAAUAACCCCGAUCCCCAACUGUGAGGAAAUCAUUAAUUAGUUCAAGACAGUUAACUUAAAUAAAAGAAAAAGUUCGAAACAGUCCCGGGCGCAACAUAAUUGGAUAUUACAAUAAAAAUAUUGCAUAUCUAAAAUAAGAAUGAACAAACGAAGCAUUCAAUUUCGGUGCGCCUCAUUUGUUUCUGUUUGUCUAUGGUUUUCGUUUUUUUUUCUAACCUCCUUGC